UACAGGGGGGGCAAGCGUUGUUCGGAAUUUACUGGGCGUAAAGGGCUCGUAGGUGGCCAACUAAGUCAGACGUGAAAUCCCUCAGCUUAACUGGGGAACUGCGUCUGAUACUGGAUGGCUUUGAGUUUGGGAGAGGGAUGCGGAAUUCCAGGUGUAGCGGUGAAAUGCGUAGAUAUCUGGAGGAACACCGGUGGCGAAGGCGGCAUCCUGGACCAACACUGACACUGAGGAGCGAAAGCCAGGGGAGCAAACGGG
rnacentral:rRNA from 1 species